rnacentral:tRNA from 1 species
UGUCUCUUUCGUCUAGUGGUUAGGACAUCGCCCUUUCACGGCGGCAACAGGGGUUCAAAUCCCCUAGGAGACAU